rnacentral:other from 1 species
AAAUAUCUGAGAGGUUCGUGAUGUGUUGAAUUAAAUUUUGACCUAACACCUUUUAAAUCGGGAGUCUAAUAGGUUUUCCUUCAAAAAACACGCCUGGACAAUCAGGACGUUUGGAGUUGGAAACAGGACACCCACCUGCACUUAGCAGGCCAAAAUUAUCAGCUGAAACACACGGCUUUAGCUUGGAUAUUUC